AGGGAAUAUUGGACAAUGGGGGCAACCCUGAUCCAGCAAUGCCGCGUGUGUGAAGAAGGCCUUCGGGUUGUAAAGCACUUUUGUCCGGAAAGAAAUCCGCCUGGCUAAUACCCGGGCGGGAUGACGGUACCGGAAGAAUAAGCACCGGCUAACUACGUGCCAGCAGCCGCGGUAAUACGUAGGGUGCGCGCGUUAAUCGGGAUUACUGGGCGUAAAGCGUGCGCAGGCGGUUAUGCAAGACAGGUGUGAAAUCCCCGGGCUCAACCUGGGAACUGCACUUGUGACUGCAUGACUAGAGUGCGUCAGAGGGAGGUGGAAUUCCGCGUGUAUCAGUGAAAUGCGUAGAGAUGCGGAGGAACACCGAUGGCGAAGGCAGCCUCCUGGGAUGACACUGACGCUCAUGCACGAAAGCGUGGGGAGCAAACA
rnacentral:rRNA from 1 species